GAGAGCGGGAGCGGCGACCGAGUGCGGGAGCGGGAGCAGCGUCCGCGCUCGAGCUGGGGCGGCACGAGAGCCAUGGCCGUUGUGCCGGUCGGGCGAGUACAGGAGCCGCGACCGGGCUCGAGCUAGGGCGGCCAGUUCCGGUCUUGAAGGUCACCUUCUCCGGCGAGGCCUCGGCGACAUAGACCUCGACGACACUGAGCCAGUGCAGCGCUCCUUGGUCUUCACGCGGUCAUGCCGGCGAGCUCCUUGGUCUAUGUAAGUAGGUGAGUGUGGGAGCAGCUUGGUAACCAGCUAAAUUCAUAUUUGAGGAUUGAAACCACCUGAGAUUAGAAAUACUAUACCAGUCAUUCAUAUCAAUUUAACCUUUAAAGUUAUGUGCUUUCAGUUGUAUCUGUUGAUGGUAGUAGGGCUUUUCCCCUUGGAAAUUACAAGCAGUAAUGUGGAUUGGGAAAAAAUGCCUGAUAUGUUAAAUAGAUAUUUAGAUAUAAUGGCAUUCACCGUGAGGAAGCGUGAGGAAGCGCUGCAUUCUGUUAACUAUAUACUGAUAGUAUACAUAAUGCAGCAGUACACAACCAAAUUUGGUUCUUUUACUCAGGCGUUGUGCAUUUAACUCACAAGCCUAAUUCCUAGGAAUUUAUUCUUAAAAUUUAGAGCAAUCUUACAACAUUUUUUUUAUAAGAUCUGGUGUACUUUGUAGUUUUAACUUUUAAAACAGGGUAAAUUAUUUGUGCAAUACAAUCUGCAUUGUAUUUUAGUUGUUAUAUUUAAAGAAAAAAUGGAUUUCCAGAUCGGUGGGCUAUGCAACAGCGACAUUUGGUCUAGCAGUUCUUGAGGGCAGCACACAACCAGGCGUUUGGUUUCCAUAAGAUGUUAGUGGUGCUUUAAUGGGAAGACAUAAUAACACAAUACCAAUUCACAGAAGUAUUCUUUAGCUUUAAAAAACUCUCUUCUACUCUUUCAAAGGUAUCUACUAUGCACAAUCAAAUUCUUCACAAAUGUUGAAUGCAAUUGUGGACAUGCCCUGGUUGUGGUAACUGUAUGCAUCGCGUGGAAGUAGAGUUUCAUGGAUUGGUGCGGUUUGGUGUUGUAAUUUGGUCAUGAAUUAGUCAUGUAGCUGGGUUUGGGGAUGAACGGGUUCUUGGGCAUUGGGGGUAUGGAUUUCAGUUUACUCAGAUGCAAAAUGUUUGAUUGUUGAGCGAGAAUUUUGCUCGUGUUUAUGUGAGUCGGAAUUUUGCUCGCGUUUAUGUGAGAGUGCCGACAAGAUCAAUUUUGUAUCUAUGGUUAAUGUCAUUGAGGCGUUUCCAGCAUGGCGUCAAUGACAUUGAGGAUUGGUUCUUCUGUAACAAUUCUGGAAUACCAUACUCUAACCCCUACUUUGUUU
rnacentral:lncRNA from 1 species